rnacentral:sRNA from 1 species
AAAGCUUUAUUUCGAGUUUUCGCUGGGUCAUAUUAAAGAGUAAUCGGAAAGA